GGUUUUCGGAUCGUAAAGCUCUGUUGUUAGGGAAGAACAAAGUGCAAGAAGUAACUGCUUGCACCUUGACGGUACCUAACCAGAAAGCCACGGCUAACUACGUGCCAGCAGCCGCGGUAAUACGUAGGUGGCAAGCGUUGUCCCGGAAUUAUUGGGCGUAAAGGGCUCGCAGGCGGUUUCUUAAGUCUGAUGUGAAAGCCCCCGGCUCAACCGGGGAGGGUCAUUGGAAACUGGGAAACUUGAGUGCAGAAGAGGAGAGUGGAAUUCCACGUGUAGCGGUGAAAUGCGUAGAGAUGUGGAGGAACACCAGUGGCGAAGGCGACUCUCUGGUCUGUAACUGACGCUGAGGAGCGAAAGCGUGGGGAGCGAACAGGGAUUAGAUACCCUGGUAGUCCACGCCGUAAACGAUGAGUGCUAAGUGUUAGAGGGGUUUCCGCCCCUUAUUGCUGCAGCUAACGCAUUAAGCACUCCGCCUGGGGGAGUAGGGGCGCAAGACUGAAACUCAAAGGAAAUGAACGGGGGGCCCGCACACACCGGUGGAGCAUGUGGUUUAAUUUCAAAUCACCGCGAAGAACCUUACCAGGUCUUG
rnacentral:rRNA from 1 species